UACGGAGGGGGCUAGCGUUGUUCGGAAUUACUGGGCGUAAAGCGCACGUAGGCGGUUUUGUAAGUUAGAGGUGAAAGCCCGGGGCUCAACUCCGGAACUGCCUUUAAGACUGCAUCGCUAGAAUUGUGGAGAGGUAAGUGGAAUUCCGAGUGUAGAGGUGAAAUUCGUAGAUAUUCGGAAGAACACCAGUGGCGAAGGCGACUUACUGGACACAUAUUGACGCUGAGGUGCGAAAGCGUGGGGAGCAAACAGG
rnacentral:rRNA from 1 species